GCCCUCCAGGUAUGUUCACACCCAUAGCCAAUGGUCGUGAUGAUGACAUGAACAUGCCCACCCUCACAGAGGGCUUUGUGCCAUUCAAAGAUUCCAGGUCAGAAUUCGAAUUACAAGUGGCCACCUGUGUCAUCAGCAUUGUGACAAGCCCUCCUGUGCCUUCUCAGUUCUUCUCCCAGCCCACUGAUGGAUGGUCAUGUUCCCCUCCCACAGACAGCAGGAUCCUGCCAGGAGCCCAGGCUCAGCAGAGAGAUCCUCACCAUCCCUCAUGUUAUCACCAUGACAGCUCAGAGAGAGCCCCAGUGACCUGUGUCACAAUAGGAUCUUGUAGACAUGACUGUGACCUCCAAGCCUGGGUCAUAAAAGACAAUAACCCUGCCAGGCUGUCUCCGAGAGCAGCCGGCCACCAUGCCCUGCAGAUGCCCAAGCAGUCCUGUGGAGAGCCAUGUAUGGAGAGGAACCAGCCGUGUGAGGGAUUGCCUGGGAAGGGAGUCUUCCGGCCCCAGCCACACCUUCAGAUGAGACCACAGCCCCAAACACCCACCCAACUGCUCCCAAAUUGCUGACCCCCAGAAACCAGGAGAGCUCAUAUGUGUUGAUCGUUAUACGACUGUAAGCCUUGGAGUACCUGGUUGGGCAGGAGGAGGCAGCUAGCGGUUCUGCCCCCUGAUGAUGAGACGGGACAAUCCAUAUUGUCACCUAUAUGCACCCCACACAUGCACACAGAAGUUUUUAAAUGGGACUGUGCAUCACCAUAUUUAAGCUAACACCAGCUGCUAUCUUAAAUAAAUCCUAAAGUCUGCACAGCUAACACAAGAGGGAGGACGUUGUGGAGGACACGACGUGUCUGGUGGUUCUCCUCCAAGCAGGAAUUAUGGACCCAAGACCUCUCUCCCCUGCUGGCUCUCCAAUUCAGUCCGAAGAUGGGGACAGAGACCACGGGAAGGUCACAGCACUUCUAAACCCUCUGGACUGGAAGUGCCACUUGCUGGACCCACUCAUGUUCCACUGGUGAGAGAGGGGACACUGCAAGUUGCAGGGGAGAGAUGAGGCCGAGCCCUCCUGGGGAGACCCAGUGCACCGGCAGGGAAGAACCCCGGGCACCACCUCCCAGGGCGGAAGAAGGGGAGCCCGCGCCUGCAGCAGGUGCGGCUGAGCCCCUGACGCCCUGAGAGGCUGCACGACAAGACUGGAGACAGGGAAGCUCUCAUCCAAGUUGGAACAUGAAGAGGAGAGUUCCCCUCGGGAUCUUUCUGGAUGCAGAUCCUACAUUGCUGGAGGUUUACCUCAGAAGAGAGCCCAAGAAUGGAACUUCUGACUUGUUGUCCUGUAAUGUCCUCCCUGGAGGGAAGGUCUGCAUGAGGGACAAGAUGGUUCUUCCACGUGGCUGUGGGUGGCUGUGGGGCCUCCAGGCAGGUGCUGCUCUGCCCUCAGCGGUGUCCCUGCUCCGCGCCCGUCCUCCCUUCUCCUGGUGUCUGUGAAACAAGCAGAGAAAUGGAAGAGCCGGUGAAACUUGGAAGGGAAACUUGGAAGGGAAGCACGUGUCCCUUUACGUGCUUGGGACCGUCAGACCUGACGCUCACGGGAUCGCUAUUGUGAGUGUGGACAGAGGAAACACCCACGGGCACUAAAAGGCUGUUGGCACGAGUCAUUGCUAACAGUCACAGAAUCUGCAGUUUCAGGGCCUGGAUCAGGUUAGGGUUAGCCCUCCUGAGACACACCAACACGUCUAACGGCCCCUCUGCCCAUAAAGGUUCACGGUGGCUGGGAAGUCACCGCUUCCACCCGACGGACGGUGAUAGCACCUCUUGAACCCACCUGCUCAGAGCAGCCCAGGUGGCAGGGACCCGUUUCCAGCCUGGCCUCCCUACUCCACACAGCACCUGCUCUCCAGCGUCUUCCCUGUUUCUGAGUCUCUCCUCGCUUUCCGUCUGCCUUUCCGUCCCCUGUCCCUGACUUCCUGCCGAGUAUUCCUACAAGCCAACAGUUCAGCUCGGGCAGGGGGAGGUAGGUGGCCAGGAGAGGCUCGCCACACUCAAUGAAUUUCGGGGCAUUCCGGCUAUUUCCUCCCAGCCCAAAAGACUGCCCAGCUCCCUGGGAGCAUCCUGGCUGUUUACUGGCAAUGAGGGCACUGUUGAAAUCAUCGUUAUUUUCAAAUAACAAGUAUUGAUGAGGAUGUGGAGAGCAAGGAACCCUCCUGGUGGGAAUGAAAACUGGUGUAGUCACUGUGGAGAACACUAUGAAGGGUCCUCAAAAAGUUAAACAUAGAACCACCCAAUGGUUCAUAAUUCCAGUCCUGGGGAUUUACCCGAAGGGAAGGAAAUCGCUGUCUGGAAGAGAUCUCCGCACCCCCACGUUCAUGGCAGCAUUGUUCACAAUGGCCCGUCAUGGAAACAGGUUCAGUGUCCAUCCGGCGAGUGAUGCCUUUAUGAAGGAAUAUUGCUCAGCUGUAAAAAAGAACAGGCAGAUGUGGAGGACGUUAUGCUGAGUGAAAUCAGCCAGACACACAAGGAAAAGGCUGCGUGGUCUCACUUACACGUGGAAUCUGAAACAGGCAGAAGUCGAGUCUUACGUGUGUGGAGCCCCUGGCACCCCACUCGGGCCUGCCGGGGCCCAGGGAAAUCAGCGGGGACCUGCUUACCAAGCACAGAAUCGUGCAAAACAACACAUGCCGUGGCCUCCAUCUGGGCAUCUCCGUGGUUUGGAUGCAGUGGUGGUGGCCCCAGCAGCCCCCUGAGAUGCAACGCAACGUCCCCGGUCAGCAGGGGCAGCCACCAUAGUCCUCAGUGAUCCAGCCCAGGGCCCAUCAGCGCUGUGGCCGAGACUUGGGCUGCAGAGGCUGGAAUGUGGCGUCUGAACAGCCUGCUGUGCACAGAGAAGGAAGAACAUGAAAACGUGAGCAAUGAAGCCAACAAUAACCCAUCAUUUAAAUCCUGCUUCUCACACUUGUCUUGGAAACAAAAGUGAUCCAAGGAAUUCAUGCCCAGUCUCCACCCAACAGAACCCUGCUGAGGCAUCGAUGGCCUUGCAGAUCCUCUCCAGCAGGGCCUCCCAGGCUGGUGUGGUUCCUCCACCAGAAACGUGAAAUCUUCUGUCACCAUAUACGUUUGGGAAAUGCCGGGAGCAUCUCCUCGGGAUUCAGCCCCCAAACGGAUGGGCAUGCGCACUGGGCAGGACCCAGCAGCGGAAGCUGAGUGCCAAUGUGAGUGUAAGCGGUCGGGCCACCUGGCAAGCAUCUGGCAGCUUCUCCUGGAGGGAAGCACUCACCUGGCCUAUUAACUGGGACAACUGAAAAUACAUGCCCCCCACCCCCGCCAAGGCCACCUGCCCCUGUUUGGACAAUCACCUGUCUGGACAAGGAGGCCAGCACAUCCUGCAUGUUGGUGGUCGGGGGGGGGGGGGGACUCAAGCCCCGGAGUGUCAAGGGCACAACGCUGGCUGCCAUCCACCUCUGCCCACUGGGAAUGCUCCGGGGAGGGGCCUCUAACCAGACUUGAUAGACAGAACAUAUAGACUGCACACUUUUGUGUGGACUCUUGACACUCAGAACCAUGUCUCAGAGAUUCAUCUGUUUCCUGGCGUGGACCCUUCAUUUUCUGUGGCUGAGUGGUGUUCUACCAUGUGAACACUCCGGGAUUCCUUUGUCCGCUUGGAUGGUUCUUAAUUUGAGGUUACAAUAAAGCUGCUAUGAACAUUC